AGUGAACGCUGGCGGUAGGCCUAACACAUGCAAGUCGAACGGCAGCACAGUAAGAGCUUGCUCUUACGGGUGGCGAGUGGCGGACGGGUGAGGAAUACAUCGGAAUCUACUUUUCGUGGGGGAUAACGUAGGGAAACUUACGCUAAUACCGCAUACGACCCACGGGUGAAAGCAGGGGAUCUUCGGACCUUGCGCGAUUGAAUGAGCCGAUGUCGGAUUAGCUAGUUGGCGGGGUAAAGGCCUACCAAGGCGACGAUCCGUAGCUGGUCUGAGAGGAUGAUCAGCCACACUGGAACUGAGACACGGUCCAGACUCCUACGGGAGGCAGCAGUGGGGAAUAUUGGACAAUGGGCGCAAGCCUGAUCCAGCCAUACCGCGUGGGUGAAGAAGGCCUUCGGGUUGUAAAGCCCUUUUGUUGGGAAAGAAAAGCAGCAGGUUAAUACCCCGCUGUUCUGACGGUACCCAAAGAAUAAGCACCGGCUAACUUCGUG
rnacentral:rRNA from 1 species